UCGAGAAUCUUUCACAAUGGGGGCAACCCUGAUGGAGCGACGCCGCGUGGAGGAUAAGGUCUUCGGAUUGUAAACUCCUGUCAUGCGAGAACAAGGUAGUUUGGUUAAUAGCCGAGCUGCUUGAUGGUACCGCAAGAGGAAGAGACGGCUAACUCUGUGCCAGCAGCCGCGGUAAUACAGAGGUCUCAAGCGUUGUUCGGAAUCACUGGGCGUAAAGGGUGCGUAGGCUGCGCCGUAAGUCAGAUGUGAAAGCUCAGGGCUCAACCCUGAAAUUGCAUCCGAUACUGCGGUGCUAGAGAAAUGAAGGGGAGUCUAGAAUUUUCGGUGUAGCAGUGAAAUGCGUAGAUAUCGAAAGGAAUACCAAAGGCGAAGGCAGGACUCUGGGCAUUUUCUGACGCUCAUGCACGAAGGCUAGGGUAGCGAACG
rnacentral:rRNA from 1 species